AUGGGCUCCCUCCCCCUCGCCGUGCUCGCGGCGCUUCUCUGCUGCUUCCUGGCCGUCGGCGGCGGCGCCGUGGAGCUCAACACCACCGACCCCUCCCCCUUCGACGUCGACCUCAACGCCACCGACGCCACCAAGUACUGGGGCCCCUGGACCCCGGCCAGGGCGACUUGGUACGGCCAGCCCAACGGCGCCGGCCCCGACGACAACGGUGGUGCCUGCGGCUUCAAGCACACCAACCAGUACCCGUUCGCGUCCAUGACCUCCUGCGGCAACCAGCCAUUGUUCAAGGACGGCAAGGGAUGCGGUUCAUGCUACAAGAUCAGAUGCAGGAAGGACAUGUCGUGCUCCGGCAGGACGGAGACGGUGAUCAUCACCGACAUGAACUACUACCCGGUGGCGCCCUUCCACUUCGACCUCAGCGGCACUGCGUUCGGCCGGCUCGCCAAGCCCGGCCUCAACGACAGGCUCCGCCACUCCGGCAUCAUCGACAUCGAGUUCACACGGGUGCCGUGCGAGUUCCCGGGGCUCAAGAUCGGGUUCCACGUGGAGGAGUACUCGAACCCCGUCUACUUCGCGGUGCUGGUGGAGUACGAGGACGGCGACGGCGACGUGGUGCAGGUGGACCUCAUGGAGUCGCGGGGGCCGGGCGGCGGCAAGUGGACGAGGAUGAGGGAGUCGUGGGGCUCCGUCUGGCGCCUCGACUCCAACCACCGCCUCCAGGCGCCCUUCUCCAUCCGCAUCCGCAACGAGUCCGGCAAGACGCUCGUCGCCAACAAGGUCAUCCCGGCCAACUGGAGGCCCAACACCUUCUACCGCUCCUUCGUCCAGUACAGCUGA
rnacentral:rRNA from 1 species